GCCAGGUGUGGUGGUGUACACCUGUAAUCUCAGCUACUUGGGAGGCUGAGACUGGAGGAUAACAAAUUUGUGUCUAGCCUGGGCAAUUUAGCCAGAUCCCUAUCUCAA
rnacentral:sRNA from 1 species